ACCUGGCUGGCUCAGUUAGUAGGGCAUGAGAUUCUUGAUCUCAGGGUCAUGAGUUUAAGCCCCAUGUUGGGGG
rnacentral:tRNA from 1 species